GGUGGUUCUCGGGUGAUGCACCCUAGAAUCGGGCUCCCUCGUCUCUGGUCCCGGGGUGGGUCACCCAAGAACUGCU
rfam:Myotis brandtii contig192072, whole genome shotgun sequence.